AUUCAGCUGAAGAGUACCAAAUAAGAUGAAACGUGUGUCAAACUGAAU
rfam:Schistosoma margrebowiei strain Zambia genome assembly, scaffold: SMRZ_contig0003831